CUUUCAAUCCAGGCAAGCCAAUAUCACCCUUUGGUCCCCGCGGGCCAGGAAAUCCUGGUAAACCUGGCUUACCAUCUGGUCCAGGAGGCCCAAACAGUUUUUCAAUUGCAGUGAAGUUAAGAAUUCCUUUUGUAUCAUUGAGAAAUAGCUCUGGUAUGGCUAUGAUUGGUCCUGGUGGUCCUGGUGGUCCAGGUGGACCCACAAUAUCGUUGCCAUUCUUUCCUGGUUCACCCUGAGGUCCUGG
rnacentral:lncRNA from 1 species